GAUGAACGCUGGCGGCGUGCCUAAUACAUGCAAGUCGAGCGAACGGACGAGAAGCUUGCUUCUCUGAUGUUAGCGGCGGACGGGUGAGUAACACGUGGAUAACCUACCUAUAAGACUGGGAUAACUUCGGGAAACCGGAGCUAAUACCGGAUAAUAUUUUGAACCGCAUGGUUCAAAAGUGAAAGACGGUCUUGCUGUCACUUAUAGAUGGAUCCGCGCUGCAUUAGCUAGUUGGUAAGGUAACGGCUUACCAAGGCAACGAUGCAUAGCCGACCUGAGAGGGUGAGCGGCAACACGGGGACUGAGAUACGGACCAGACGGCGACGGGAGGCAGCAGUGGGGAAUAUUGCACAAUGGGCGGAAGCCGGAUGCAGCAACGACGCGAGCGGGAUGAAGGCCUUCGGGUUGUAAACAGCUGUCGCCUGGGACGAAGCGUGAGGGACGGUAAUGGGUAAAGAAGCACCGGCUAACUACGUG
rnacentral:rRNA from 1 species